rfam:Pelecanus crispus contig74628, whole genome shotgun sequence.
AUUAAGGAUGUUUUUACAUCCACACAUUGUUUUAGUUAACAUUUC